GUCACUUUUUUUUUUUUUUUUUUUUUUUUUUUUAAGAGUUUAUUAAUCCAUUUUUUUCAAUUUUUGAACAACUGCUUUUUUCUUGUUUCCAUUAGCAUUAACUUUUAAAGCAAUAUAUUAUCAUACCAAACCACACAUAUAAAUAUAAGUGUUGCCUCCCCAAAUUCAGAAGGCUCCUCAUCUUUUCUUCUGUCACCACCCUCAGCUCAGCCAUCCUGAAACUGGCUUCACAGUGAGCAGGUCCCAUCAAUUCUUUGGACAGCAUCAUCUUAGCACCAAUAUCUGAAAGGAAAGAAACCCUAGCCUCCAUCUCAGGGAACACCAAAGAAACUAAGAGUUCAGAACACUGGAGAUGACACAUAGAUACUUUGUUUUCUUUUAAACAUAUAAUAAUAAAAUGUAGCAUAUAGACAAAGUUGAAAAAAUCCUGUUAUUUUCUCCAUUUGAGCUUCCAAUUUGAAUUUAUUUUCCCUUUAUAUUUUUUCUUCCUCUGGUACCUUUGUAUAUUUAUGGGGCAACAUUUUUAGUAAAAAAACUGUAGUUUCACACAGGCUCCUGGGUAUAUACAGUGGCUUGUAUGGACUCACAAGUGUCCACAUUGCAUAUCCUUUCCCAGUUCUGCACUCAAUGAUAGCACAUUCAUAGCUUGCAGUCAGCCAGAGUGGAAGUAGUAUUUACACCAUGGAAAUUGGCAAACACCAUCAAUCAGGAUUUUCCACCCAGAAGGCCAGUUUUUAAGCAUUUGCCAGGAAAACUCUGGGUAUACACCUCAUUUUUCCCCAAAGCGGUCAAAAUGUCAGAACAUAAAACCAAUUGACAUAUACAAUUAUCAGAGUAAUAUGCCAAACAUCAUGAGAAUUCCCACUCAAGAAAUUUACAUAGAGUAGCUUUUGGAGUUUUAUGUCAUUUUUGUAACAUUCACUGCAUAGUGCUCCCCGGAAACAACCCUUAAAGGACAAAAAAUACAAUUGGAUUACAGUACAUUUUAGUUAUCAUUCCAUUUAGUUAUUCACCAGUUUCAAGUAAUUUCCAGAUAUUUUUGAUCCAUCCCCAGAGGGCUUUAUUUCCACAACAGACAACAUAGAAAAUUCAGUAAUUUCUAGUUAUUAACAUUGCUGUGCUUAUACCCAGGGUUUUUUUUACAUGAAUAAAUAUACACCGCGCUCUCUCCUCAGUGUCACCUUCUGCAGUAACAGUGUAUCUUCUGGAUGAUAUGGAGGAUAGAACCCAGCAAGCUUGGAGCAUGGGGUCUGGCUUUGCCAAAAGCUAAAACAGGCUAAAGGAAUAUGAAGUUUCCUCCUUGGGUCUUACUGGAGUGGGGCUGGCCCACUAAGUUGUUCUUUCUAGUUGUCUGUCAUGGCACCCCUGGCUUUAUUCCCAGGAAUGUAAUGUCCUCGGAUAUCUCAUGGUUGGAAACUCUUCAUAGUAGAGGUUCUCAUUUUGUUGUUUGUUUAGCACCUGAAUUUGGGCAGGAAAUAUUUCUCCCUGAAGGCUCUGAGUAGUUCAAUUCCCCUGCCUUUGUAUUGCCACUUCCACAGAGAACUGGCCUCCCCACGUGAAGAAGCAGGAUGCUCUGGCUUCGCCCUCCCGCUGCCUUGGAACAGUACUUGGCCAGGUUCCUCUUUCCAGGAGCAUGGUUUUCUGAGCUAAAGCUCAGCUGAAUCGAGCAUGCUUCCCCACUUCUCCUGGCA
rnacentral:lncRNA from 1 species